UACGAAGGGGGCUAGCGUUGCUCGGAAUUAUUGGGCGUAAAGAGCUCGUAGGCGGUCUGUUACGUCCGCUGUGAAAACCCAGGGCUUAACCCUGGGCUUGCAGUGGAUACGGGCAGACUAGAGGCAGGUAGGGGAGAAUGGAAUUCCCGGUGUAGCGGUGAAAUGCGCAGAUAUCGGGAGGAACACCGGUGGCGAAGGCGGUUCUCUGGGCCUGACCUGACGCUGAGGAGCGAAAGCGUGGGGAGCGAACAGG
rnacentral:rRNA from 1 species